rnacentral:tRNA from 1 species
UGCAGGUUGGAGUAAAGGAAACUCGACGGUCUCCUAAGCCGUAAAUGUGGGGUCGAUUCCCGCACCUGCUACUA